CAUCGCAGCAAGGACACGUAAUUCUUCCACACUUGCACUGUACACAUUCGAUUCCAGCCGAGUUCUUCGUCUGGCCAUCGGUCUUACUACCGAUCAGAAAUUUUCUGGGGGAAGACGAGCUCAGCGGGGGAGAACAAUCGAGGUGAUCAUCAGCUGACGAAAUUGCAGUUGUAGUACUGGAGAGGAGGAAACCAAGGCAGAGAAUGGCAAACACAGUGAAACAAACCUUGGAGCUCAU
rnacentral:lncRNA from 1 species